rnacentral:rRNA from 1 species
UGAGUGAAGAAGGGUUUCGGCUCGUAAAGCUCUGUUGACGGGGACGAAUGUGCGAGAUGCGAAUAGUUUCUUGCAAUGACGGUACCCGUCGAGGAAGCCACGGCUAACUACGUGCCAGCAGCCGCGGUAAUACGUAGGUGGCGAGCGUUGUCCGGAAUUAUUGGGCGUAAAGGGAGCGCAGGCGGGAAGGCAAGUCAGUCUUAAAAGUGCGGGGCUCAACCCCGUGAUGGGAUUGAAACUGUCUUUCUUGAGUGCAGGAGAGGAAAGCGGAAUUCCUAGUGUAGCGGUGAAAUGCGUAGAUAUUAGGAGGAACACCAGUGGCGAAGGCGGCUUUCUGGACUGUAACUGACGCCGAGGCUCGAAAGCGUGGGGAGCGAACAGGAUUAGAUACCCUGGUAGUCCACGCCGUAAACGAUGAGUGCUAGGUGUAGGAGGUAUCGACCCACUGUGUGCCGGAGUUAACGCAAUAAGCACUCCGCCUGGGGAGUACGGUCGCAAGACUGAAACUCAA